rnacentral:rRNA from 1 species
AUUGAACGCUGGCGGCGUGCUUUACACAUGCAAGUCGAACGGCAGCACGGGACUCAGGCAACUGAGCCCUGGUGGCGAGUGGCAAACGGGUGAGUAAUACUUCGGAACGUACCUUCUAAUGGGGGAUAACUACUCGAAAGAGUGGCUAAUACCGCAUAUGUCUAAGGAUGAAAGCGGGGGAUCAUAAGACCUCGCGUUAGUUGAGCGGCCGAAGCAAGAUUAGGUAGUUGGUGAGGGAAAGGCUCACCAAGCCUGCGAUCUUUAGCUGGUCUGAGAGGACGGACAUACUGGGACUGAGACACGGCCCAGACUCCUACGGGAGGCAGCAGUGGGGAAUUGUUCACAAUGGGCGCAAGCCUGAUGACGCAACGCCGCGUGGAGGAUGAAGGUCUUCGGAUUGUAAACUCCUGUUGCUCGGGACGAAAAGCUCUGACCUAACACGUCAGAGUCUGACGGUACCGGGUGAGGAAGCCCCGGCUAACUCUGUGCCAGCAGCCGCCGUAACAC